UAAGCUAUUCGCCUUUCCCGCCUUGAAUACUUAAACGAAAAUCCAUAUAGCGCAGAUAAGCGACUUGGCUAAAAUUUCGGCUUUAAUGGAACAGAGAAGAAUUAUACAGGGUUGUUCAUAGAUAGUGUUUCGUGAAAAAGGCUAAUUUUGUGAAAGGUAUGGCAAUUUAGUUAAUAGCUCAUGCUUAGAAAAGUAUUAUGUGGGAUUUCCCACAAGUUCUUGGUUCAACAAUAAGGCAGACAAUGCUCGCGAUAGGCUAUCAUUAAGUUUAUUCCGGAAGCCAGUUGUGGGAGGAAAUACUCCACUUGCUUUGUCCUGAAGCACAUAAAUUGCCCUUUGCUCAGACUACGGAGAUAACAGACAUCGAAGCGCUCUAUCGCUCCACUCUCUAAACCUAUUCCAGCAGUCAUGGUCGCCAAGAACGUUUUUCUUCUUGUUCUUCUAAGCUUAACCUUUUACUCAGAAUGCGAAGCGCUUUUAACGAAUCUAUCGAAAGGCAAGUACGUAUCGGCCCAAAAAGCCACGGAGAAUCAGCCCAAAUAUGAAUUGGAGAGACCAAGUAGUGCAAACAGAAGACCUCUUUUUAAAAGCUGGAAAGUACGACCCAAAGAGAACCACGGGGAACGGGAUAGUCCGAUCUACUUAAUUGCUGAAGAUUAAGUGUUGAUAAAUUGUCUUUGAGGAUAUCUGCGAGCGAGGGUUUAGGGAAAGAGUAAAAAAGAAGACAACACGCUGACCACGAUUGACAGGGGGCGCAUGGCAAGAGUGAGAGUGCUAGUGACGUCAUCGUGGGAAUGGACUCUAAAACAAACACAGAGAAUCUAAAUAAAUGUUUAUUUGUGUAAAACCUGAAUAAAGAUUAUAUAGUUUAGAUAGAA